rnacentral:rRNA from 1 species
AUAGGUUGGAUGUGGAAGCAUAGUGAUAUGUGAAGCUGACCAAUACUAAGUGCUCGUGAGGCUUGACUAUACAACACCCACGCAGUUG